CACACACACACACACACACAGAUGAACAUGUUUAAAAGCCUAGGCAGCACUGGAAGGCUGGGGUAAUACCACUGGAGAGUGAGUCUGAAACAGUGUGUG